rnacentral:rRNA from 1 species
GGGGAAUAUUGCACAAUGGGCGAAAGCCUGAUGCAGCAACGCCGCGUGAGUGAUGAAGGUCUUCGGAUUGUAAAGCUCUGUCUUUUGGGACGAUAAUGACGGUACCAAAGGAGGAAGCCACGGCUAACUACGUGCCAGCAGCCGCGGUAAUACGUAGGUGGCGAGCGUUGUCCGGAUUUACUGGGCGUAAAGGGUGCGUAGGCGGAUGUUUAAGUGAGAUGUGAAAUACCCGGGCUUAACUUGGGUGCUGCAUUUCAAACUGGAUAUCUAGAGUGCAGGAGAGGAGAAUGGAAUUCCUAGUGUAGCGGUGAAAUGCGUAGAGAUUAGGAAGAACACCAGUGGCGAAGGCGAUUCUCUGGACUGUAACUGACGCUGAGGCACGAAAGCGUGGGUAGCAAACAGGAUUAGAUACCCUGGUAGUCCACGCCGUAAACGAUGAGUACUAGGUGUAGGAGGUAUCGACCCCUUCUGUGCCGCAGUAAACACAUUAAGUACUCCGCCUGGGAGGUACCGAUCGCAAGAU